CUAAGUACUACCUAGCGACCGAUAGUGAACGAGUACCGUGAGGGAAAGGUGAAAAGUUCCCGAGAGGGAAGUGAAAUAGACCCUGAAACCGUGUGCCUACAAACAGUGGGAGCCGCAAGGUGACCGCGUACCUUUUGCAUAAUGAGUCAGCGAGUUGCGUGUCGUAGCAAGGUUAAGCCGUAAGGUGUAGCCGUAGGGAAACCGAGUCUGAAUAGGGCGUCGAGUUGCGGCAUGCAGACCCGAAACCAGGUGAUCUACCCAUGACCAGGGUGAAGCGUUGGUAAAACUUCGUGGAGGCCCGAACCCACUGAUGUUGAAAAAUCAGGGGAUGAGUUGUGGGUAGGAGUGAAAGGCUAAUCAAACUUGGAGAUAGCUGGUUCUCCCCGAAAUGCAUUGAGGUGCAGCGUCGGGUGGUCACCGUCGGAGGUAGAGCACUGAAAGGGCUAGGGGGAGCAAUCCUACCAAACCCUAUCAAACUCCGAAUUCCGAUGAGUGCAACCCGGCAGUGAGACGGCGGGUGAUAAGAUUCGUCGUCAAGAGGGAAAGAGCCC
rnacentral:rRNA from 1 species